UAGGGAAUCUUCGGCAAUGGGGGCAACCCUGACCGAGCAACGCCGCGUGAGUGAAGAAGGUUUUCGGUUCGUAAAGCUCUGUUGUAAGAGAAGAACGUGUGUGAGAGUGGAAAGUUCACACAGUGACGGUAACUUACCAGAAAGGGACGGCUAACUACGUGCCAGCAGCCGCGGUAAUACGUAGGUCCCGAGCGUUGUCCGGAUUUAGUGGGCGUAAAGCGAGCGCAGGCGGUUUCAUAAGUCUGAAGUUAAAGGCAGGGGCUUAAGCAUUGAUCGCUUUGGAAACAGUUAAACUUGAGGGCAGAAGGUGAGAGAGGAAUUCCGUGUGUAGCGGUGAAAUGCGUAGAGAUAUGGAGGAACACCGGUGGCGAAAGCGGCUCUCUGGUCUGUAACUGACGCUGAGGCUCGAGAGCGUGGAGAGCAAGCAGG
rnacentral:rRNA from 1 species